rnacentral:rRNA from 1 species
CAUUAUUGAAUAAACUUGAACAAGCUGAUUUUGCUGGCUUCUUUAGAGGCAUGUGCACGCUUGUCAUCUUUAUCUUUCCAACUGUGCACUUUUUGUAGAUCUUGGGGAAGUUUGAAUUAUUUUGAAUAGAUUGAGGACUGCUGUACUUUUCAGCUUUACCUUGUAUUUCCAGAUCUAUGUUUUUAUUAUAAACCUUUUGAUAUGUCUAGAAUGUUACAACGAGUUGAUAAAAUAAUUUAUACAACUUUCAGCAACGGAUCUCUUGGCUCUUGCAUCGAUGAAGAACGCAGCGAAAUGCGAUAAGUAAUGUGAAUUGCAGAAUUCAGUGAAUCAUCGAAUCUUUGAACGCAUCUUGCGCUCUUUGGUAUUCCAAGGAGCAUGCCUGUUUGAGUGUCAUUAAGUUCUCAACCAUAUUAAAUUCUUUUAAUGUGGCUUGGUUGUUGGAAGCUUGCAGGUCAUUUUAUAUAGAUCUGCUCUUCUAAAAUGGAUUAGUGGUAUCUGAGCAGACACUACUACAGAUGUGAUAAUUAUCAUUUACAUCUUAGUCAUGCUGCAAUAGUAGAUUAUACUGCUUCUAACACACAUUAUGAUAUAUUUGACCUCAAAUCAGGUAGGACUACCCGCUGAACUUAAGCAUAUCAAUAAGCGGAGGAAAAGAAACUAACAAGGAUUCCCUUAGUAACUGCGAGUGAAGUGGGAAAAGCUCAAAUUUGAAAUCUGGCAGCUUUUAACUGUCCGAGUUGUAAUCUAGAGAAGUGUUACCUGUCCUGGACCAUGUACAAGUCUUCUGGAAUGGAGUAUCAUAGAGGGUGAGAAUCCCGUCUUUGACAUGGACUACCAGUGCAUUAUGGUGUGCUCUCA